AAAAUCCAAACCUAGACCGGAGGAAGGCCAAGCAAGUAGAUUAAAACCGACUAGUCGCUUACAUUUUGUAAUCCGAGGUAAGUUGUAUGUUAAUAAUGCAACUAUAUUGUUAUGAUUUGUGAUUGAAUUGAUAUUGCAUAAAUUGCUAUGAUUGUGAAUAUGAGUAUGCAUGUUGAGAAAUUAACGUAGUAAAGACUCCCGGUUGAACUUUAGGAAUAGAUUGGAUAUUCAUGCCAUGACAUUGGGUGAUAUGUGUGCUAGUGUAAGACAUGUCUGGGACAUACAUCGGUCACAUUAUGAGAGCCAGUGUAAGACAUGUCUGGGACAUGCAUCGGCCUCGAAAUUUACAAGCUAGUGCAAGACCUAUUUGGGACAUGGUGUCAGCUUAUUGUGUGUCAGUGUAAGACCUGUUUGGGACAUGGCAUCGACACCGAUAGAUGAGAGUCAGUGUAACACCUAUUUGGGACAUGACAUUGGCCUCGAUAUAGCAAAGUCAGUGUAAGACAUGUCUGGGACAUGGCAUCAACUUUGAUGUGCUAGCCAGUGUAAGACCAUGUUUGGGACAUGGCGUUGGUAUUUUAUCCCAUGUUUGGGGCUAUUGAAUAUCCAGUAGUAUUCCAAAUGGUUCAACGGGAGAUUUAAUUUAUGAUUUAAAUCGAAAUGAGAGAACUUACACCCAUGUUGUAACACCCCGUACCCGAGACCGUUGCCGGAGUCGGACACGAGGGGUUCACAGACUAAAUUCGCUUACUAUUGCAGUCUAUUUUAAAAAUUUCCAGGCAGUUGGCUAACUGCAUCACUGUCACCUUAAAAAUCAUAUCUUGAGUUUCACAACUCGAAAAUAAGUUUCGUAAUUUUUCCCUGAAACUAGACUCAUAUGCCCAUCUAAAUAUUUUUUUCUAGAAUUUUUGGUCGGGCCAAUUAGUACAGUUUAUUAGUCAAAGUCUCCCAUGUUACAGGGAUCGACUACACUGACCUUUGCGCAUUACGACUUAGAUAUCUCCCUGUACAGGGCUUCAAUACUGAUUUCAUUUGUUUCUAUAGAAACUAGACUCAAAAAGGAAUCUAUGCAUAUAUGGCAUGACUUCUAAUUAUCUCUGGUUAAUUUAUAAUGAAUUUCCAAAGUCGGAACAGGGAAUCCAGAAACCGUUCUGGCCCUGUCUCACGAGAACCUGAAUAUCUCUUAACAUACUGUCCACAUGAUUGUUUCGUUACUUUCCUAUGAAAAUAGAUUCAUCAAGGUUCGUUUACAUAAUUUAUUAACUAUUUAAUUCCAUUCCUACUAUUUUUAGUUAUUUUUCACAUCCACAUCACUGCUGCUGCCAGCAUCUGUUUUUAAGGUAAACUUUACCUAUUUCAUGAUCCUCCAUGGAUCCACUAGAGUUUGUCAUACAUAUUCCAAAGGUGAUCAAGAAUAACCCUUCCCAUGGCUAACCGUUACCAACAUUUCCAUACCUCUCGACGGACAACAUACAAAACGAUUAUAAUGCUAUGAUCAAAGUAUAUUUAAGCCAUUUUCGCAUGGCUAUCCAAAUUUACACAAAACUGAAGGGUACAUGACCAACAACAAAAGGGUAGUCCUAUACAUGCCAUUUUCAGAGUUCAACCAAAAGUGUACCAAAAGGGCUUUGAUAGUGUGGGCGACUUCGACUUCAAAAUCCCGAGUCCGAUAGCUGAAGAACCAAAAUCUAUAAAACAGAGAAUCAAAGAAACGGAGUAAGCAUUAAAUGCUUAGUAAGUUUUAAGCAGUGUCAACAGAUAACAAUCAAAUUAUAACAUAGUUGUUCGUAUAUUUUAUUUCACUCUUCCUUCAGGCAUACCAUCCCUUUUCCGAAUAUGCACAUCUCAUCAUAUACAAUAGGCAGAUAAACUAUCAUAUAAAAGUGAGCUCAUGUGACAUAGAUAUAUCGUAUGAUUUCACAUAACCUCUCACACUGAUCCGAUGUCACAUAAUCAUAGGAAUAGUCUCAUAGAUUGCUCUCGUAUGCAUCACAUAGCUACCUUAUGAUUUAGUGCAAAUCAAGCUCACAUGUAAACUUGGAGUAUAUACCUGUUUAACCUUUCGCAUUGAAUAUAUUUAUAAGCAAUUCUUAUUACGAAGUCUUACCCGGACAUAAUCUCCACACGAAGUUAUCGGGUCUUACCCGGACAAAAUCCCCACACGUAGUCAUCGGGUCUUUAGAGCUCGGAUAUAGUACGAGCACGAAGCUUACGGACAUUAAUCAGUGAUAAUAUUCUCGCAUAAAGCCUGCGGGGUUUUAACCCGGAUAUAGUACUGACACAAAUGCCCUUCGGGACUUAUCACAUUUAUAUACUUUCACAUCCAUCACGUUGGCCACUCGGCCCUGUCACAUAUAUACACUUUCACAUUCAUCACAUCGGCCAUUAGGCCUUAUCACAUAUAUACACUUUCACAUUCAUCACAUCGGCCAUUAGGCCUUAUCACAUAUAUAUACACUUUCAUAUUCAUCACAUCGGCUAUUAGGCCUUAUCACAUAUAUACACUUUCACAUUCAUCACAUCGGCCAUUAGGCCUUAUCACAUAUAUACACUUUCACAUUCAUCACAUUGGCCAUUCGGCCUUAUCACAUAUAUACACUUUCACAUUCAUCACAUCGGCCAUUAGGCCUUAUCACAUAUAUACACUUUCACAUUCAUCACAUUGGCCAUUCGGCCUUAUCACAUAUAUACACUUUCACAUUCAUCACAUCGGCCAUUAGGCCUUAUCAUAUAUAUACACUUUCACAUUCAUCACAUUGGCCAUUAGGCCUUAUCACAUAUAUAUACACUUUCACAUUUAUUCAAAUAUACUUCACAUACCACAUAUACUAUCAUGUACAGACUUGGUCUUGGCCGAAUCUACAUCCAUCACUUUCCAAUGAAUAACUCAAUUUUACGCCAUACUAUCAUUUCAUAUUCGAAUACUCAUAAGCUUACAAUAUCACGAUUUAGAAUUCAAGUAUGGGUUUAAUCAACAGCUUAUGAGCAACUAAAACAAGUUUUAUCCAUGUUUACAACAAAAUCACAUAUUCACUACGAGCUGUUUUCCUGAGCAAUGGUCACUAAAUUAUUUAUAACCGGAGCUACAAAACUCCAAAUCACUUGCCGUUAAUUUUUCCUGAAUAUAGACUCGUAUAUCUUCCAUCCAUAAAAUUUCCAUAAUUUUAGGUUUGGCCAAUAAAUACCAGAUUUUUCUUAAAGUUUCCCCUGUUUCACUGUUUGACUAAUCUGACCACUCUUCACUACGAAUCAAAUUUCUCAUUUUACAGAAUUCAAAAUGUGUUGUAUUUGAUUUCAUUUGAAACUAGACUCAUUAAGGAGUCUAAGCAUAUAAAUUUUAUCUUAUAAACAUUUUUUUAAAAUUUAUAAUGAUUUUCUAAAAACAGAACAGGGGAUUUCGGAGUCAUUCUGACACCGUCUCACACAACUUUAAAUAUCUCUUUAUAGGAAAUUUCUUUGCUCACAAGGUCUCUUUUAUAAGAAACUAGACUAACUAAGCUUUGAUUACAUAUUUUAUUCAGCCUAUAAUUCUACGCCAACAAUUUAUAGUGAUUUUCUAAAAUCACGUUACUGCUGCUGUCCAAAGCAAAUUAUUACAAUUUGCUCUUAAAUUUCCAAGUCCAAACACUUAUGAACUUACCUUUUGAGUUUAAGACAUAUCAUGGCCACAUCAUAUCUUAUUAACUCAACUCAUUAUGUCCUAUUUUGAUUGGAUUUACUCAACGUUUGAUCACUUAAAACUUACCUCGGAAGUGGUCGACGAUUAGGUAUCCACGGCUAUUCGUUUACAUUCUCUUUUUCCCCUAUCCGACUUUGAUCCUCUUUGCUCUUAAGCUAAAGCCGCAGAGCACUUUCGAACACCAUCACUCAGCUUGGAUUGAAGCAUCGGAUACAAAAACUUUAACCUUCAUGUACAAUUAAUUUCGGCAUUCAAUCCCCUUAAAUUUCAGCUUGUAAAACAAUUAAUAGCAGUUUUAGACAUCAUAGUCUUCACCCAUUUAGACAACAUUCUUUAACAUCUAAAUAGCUCAUUUAUAUAUCAUUUGUUCAUUAACAACACAAUAUUCAAACAGCAUCAAUACCACAAUCAGAUAGCAUAAGCAGGGCAGCAAUGAAUAAUACCAACAAGGUAAAAUUCGGACAAUGAUUUAACAUUUUCAACAAUUGUCAAACACAAGAGAAUAAAAGUUCAAGGAAAGCUCACUAAGGUUCCCAACACCGAUUCUACCUAUUCAAUUUGCUCUUUCCCUUUUCUACUACAACCUUCUCCUACCUUGUUAGCUAAAUACAAUCAACCCCAAAGUUACAAAAAUGGAUUAUAACAACACAAGCAAUCAAUAAAUUCUUUUAACACAAGUGAGAAACUCUUCAUCUACUAGACAUGCAACAUUUGCAACUAGAAAAGAAAAUCUUCUCUACUCCCACAUAUUCGUCAAGCUCAAAUCAACAAUGCAACCAGAAUUUGUCAACGAAAAGCUAUGGGCAAGGGAGAGUUUAGAAGAGUUACCCUUCUACUUGAAAAUUUUAACUUCUAAGCAACAAAUUUCAUGGUUUUCCACUACAUGCAGCUGCCCUCUCCUUUCUAGCUUCAUUCCUUUCUUCCUCUUUUCAUUUUGGCCAAGAAGAACCGAUUUCUUCUUUUCUUUCCUUCUCAAGUCACGGCAAUGGGGGGGGGGAGAACAUGGAUGAGACAACUUUGUUCUCAUCACCCCUCCCUUUUCAUUUCUUUAUUACUAACCCUUUAUUAUAUUCUUUCUCCCAUAACACACUAACACAACAUGUUUCCAACAUGUUUCACCCCAUAACAUUUUGUCCACUCUCAUGCUCAUGGCCGGCCACUACUAAUUAGGGGGGAAAUUGACAUGCAAGUCCACCCUUUUUAUUUCAUGCACUAAUAGAUCCUUAUGUUUUGACCUACACAUUUCAAAAGUGUCACACAUAAGUCCUAUUGACUAAAUUCACAUGCAAUUUACUAAAUCAAAUCUUAAAAAUUUCACACAAUCGUAUUCACAUAUAAUAGUCAUAAAAUAUGACGGCUAAUUAUUUUUAUGACUUGAUUUUGUGGUCCCGAAACCACUUUUCGACUAGGGUCAAAUUAGGGGUGUCACACAUGUGGAGAGUGGUACAGGUAUCUAAAUGAGAAUUACAAAAUAAAAACUUCAUUUACGUUGUAUGUUUAGUAAGGGAGGAAAGUGAGUAAGUUAUGCUUAUGAUUACUUGUGUAUUUUACACGAAUUAUGAAAUGUGAAUUCAAACCAAUGUUGUAUAAUUGGUAGGAAACAAAUAUGAGCAAAUAGUGUUUAUGAAUUCUUACUUUCAUGUGCAAAUCAAGAUAUGUUGGGAGUAUAAUCCUUUAUGGCAACUUGCAGUUAUUUCAUUUACAUGCGACUUACUAAGCUUUAUGCUUACCCCCAUUUUCCUUUCCAUUUUCUUAUAGUGCCACCAAAGUAGCUCGUGGAUCAUCGUUUUACAUCGGAGAAGCCAGUCACACUAUCAUUUGAAGCACUUGGUAUAGUUAGUUCUUUUAUUUUGAUUAUGGCAUGUAUAAGAUAUUUUGGUCUUGUUUUAGUGUUACAUCGUUUUAAGGCCAAAUGUGUUGGCUUACCUUAGUAUUUGACUCAUUUUGUAUAAG
rnacentral:lncRNA from 1 species